rnacentral:rRNA from 1 species
UACAGAGGUCCCGAGCGUUGUUCGGAUUUAUUGGGCGUAAAGGGUGCGUAGGCGGCGGAGUAAGUUGGGUGUGAAAUCCCGGGGCUUAACCUCGGAAUUGCAUUCAAUACUGCUUCGCUAGAGUACUGGAGAGGAGGCUGGAAUUUACGGUGUAGCAGUGAAAUGCGUAGAUAUCGUAAGGAAGGCCGGUGGCGAAAGCGAGCCUCUGGACAGUUCCUGACGCUGAGGCACGAAGGUCAGGGGAGCAAACGGG